GACGAACGCUGGCGGCGUGCUUAACACAUGCAAGUCGAACGGAAAGGCCCUGCUUUUGUGGGGUGCUCGAGUGGCGAACGGGUGAGUAACACGUGAGUAACCUGCCCUUGACUUUGGGAUAACUUCAGGAAACUGGGGCUAAUACCGGAUAGGAGCUCCUGCUGCAUGGUGGGGGUUGGAAAGUUUCGGCGGUUGGGGAUGGACUCGCGGCUUAUCAGCUUGUUGGUGGGGUAGUGGCUUACCAAGGCUUUGACGGGUAGCCGGCCUGAGAGGGUGACCGGCGACAAGGGGACUGAGAGACGGCGCAGAGUCGUACGGGAGGCAGCAGUGGGGAAUAUUGCACAAUGGGAGGAAGCCUGAUGCAGAAACGCCGCGUGCGGGAUGACGGCCUUCGGGGUGUAAACCGCUUUCGCCUGUGACGAAGCGUGAGUGACGGUAAUGGGUAAAGAAGCACCGGCUAACUACGUG
rnacentral:rRNA from 1 species